ACCUUUGUGGUGUAAUGGCCAGCACACUCGGGGCAUAUUCGAGCGGUCCGAGGUUCGAAUCCUGGCGACGGCA
rnacentral:tRNA from 1 species